rnacentral:rRNA from 1 species
AGCGGCCGCGGUAAUUCCAGCUCCAAUAGCGUAUAUUAAAGUUGUUGCAGUUAAAAAGCUCGUAGUUGAAUUUCGGGAUCAGACUGUCGGUCGUGCCUCGGUACGCACUGGCAUUAUUGGUUCCUACCUUCUGAAGAACCGCGAUGUCAUUAAUUUGGUGUCGUGGGGAAUCAGGACUGUUACUUUGAAAAAAUUAGAGUGUUUAAAGCAGGCGCACGCUUGAAUACAUUAGCAUGGAAUAAUGAAAUAGGACGUUUGAUUCUAUUUUGUUGGUUUCUAGGAUCGACGUAAUGAUUAAUAGGGAUAGUUGGGGGCAUUAGUAUUCAAUUGUCAGAGGUGAAAUUCUUGGAUUUAUUGAAGACUAACUACUGCGAAAGCAUUUGCCAAGGAUGUUUUCAUUAAUCAAGAACGAAAGUUAGGGGAUCGAAGACGAUCAGAUACCGUCGUAGUCUUAACCAUAAACUAUGCCGACUAGGGAUCGGAUGAUGUUAAUUUUUAAUGACUCAUUCGGCGCCUUAAC